rnacentral:lncRNA from 1 species
GCCUGCGGGGCCCGGCUUCUCCCCGGGGAGGUGGCGCCUCAAGGUCGACCUCUGCUGUGAUGCAGACAGGAUCCUGCUGCAGUCCCCUCAGUCCACUUAGUAAAUUGCUGUGUGGGCCAAGAUGUGGACUCCGCCGGCCCCGACCCUCCGCUGUUCCCGGUCCCGGAUUAGCUAAUGAAUACCCGCGUAGCCACAGACCCCGAGCCCGCAGACUGCGCUCAGAUGCCAGCACUGAGGGUUAUUUUAUUUUAGCCCAUCUUCAAACAGUGAGGAGGUGGAAGCUGAGGUUCCUUUCUCCACGCACCUUCCAGCGACUUCUGCUCAAGAACUGA